GUUAUUGGUUACAAACAAAAACAAAUGAAUAAUAGUGUGGUAACGGGAUUACUGUGUUCAGUCAUGCCCGAUUUGAAUUCAAAAAACGUUACCGAAGAUCUGCAGUUUUUGUACAUUUUAAUACAUGGCUAUACCUGGCCAAUGAGAUGAAGUUGUACCACUUCCAUCAGUCCCGACAUUUGUCAAAGAAGUGCAGUUUGUAAAUGACCAAGUGGAUGAAGCACCCACACUCUCACCGGUCCAGAUAUUCCUCAAAGAAGAGGAAGGUGCGUAUUGUAAGGCAGAAGUGCCUGUGCUGGUCUCACUUGUCCCAGUUCUUCUCAAAGAAGAACAUGUGCUUGAUGAAUCGCUGGAGGACUUUGAAGUUGGCAGUCACCCAUUGCUAAUAAAUCUGAGUUUCUGAAGUGAAAGUCCAAAGAAGAGAAGACAGCAAGGAGUAGCUAUUUGUG